GAGGGUAUAGCUCAACUGAUAGAGUGCCUGCUUAGCAUGCAAGAGGUCCUGGAUUCAAUCCCCAGUACCUCCA
rfam:Camelus ferus unplaced genomic scaffold scaffold2472, whole genome shotgun sequence.